ensembl:ncRNA lncRNA:CR43399 long non-coding RNA:CR43399
GAGAUAGCACUUCUUCCCUUGUUUACAUUCCCUUGCUGUUGGCAUUUUAUUUUUUUUUUUGGCAUUUUUACGAUGACUAAAUGUUUGGAACGCUGGGUUUUACGCAAAAAGUUCCAGGUAUUUAAGGCGGAUGCAUCGGAAAUAAACUAAAGCGAACAAAAUACCUUUGAAUCUGAAUCAUCAACUGGCCGCGUCAACUUUUCGUUUCUGUGAGUAACCUCGGGUGUCGUAUCAUUCAGCUUUGGGCUCAAGCGGAAGACAAAGAGCGAAGCGGAGAGGCUGAUAUGGUUGUCGAUGCAUUGACCCCUGAACUCUGAAAGAGAUGUCUAUGGCCUGUUGUCCACUUCCACAUCCCCAUCCACAGACAUUUCCUCCCACACUCCGCACUCGACUCGAGUCAUCCAAUCCCAACCAAUCCGUUUCAAUUCAGUUCGCAUCGGAAUCUGAAUCUGUGUGUGAGUUAUGGAGAUGCGGGACCAACAUGAAGAGCCUAGGAAUCGGAAUCUUGAGACAUGUUUUUUCAUCUGCCCGAUUCUUUUUCUGCUGCUUAACCGCUAGCUUCCUUCCACUUGGCCAAGGAAAUGGCUCGUGACACAGAUCUUUUGUCUAAUGACUCUAUAACUAAAACUCCAUGGAACCUCAGCAACUCUAGCCAGCAAGUGCAUGGCCAUUUCUCAAUAAGUCAAUUGUACACAGAGAAAAAUUUGUGUUGUAAUAAAUACGUUUUUGGAUUUAUGAAU